AACGAACGCUGGCGGCAUGCCUAACACAUGCAAGUCGAGCGCCUGUAGCAAUACAGGAGCGGCGCACGGGUGAGUAACGCGUGGGAACCUGCCCUUAGGUUCGGAACAACCGCGGGAAACUGCGGCUGAUACCGGAUGAUGUCUUCGGACCAAAGAUUUAUCGCCUUUUGAGGGGCCCGCGUCGGAUUAGGUAGUUGGUGAGGUAACGGCGCACCAAGCCUGCGAUCCGUAGCUGGUCUGAGAGGAGGACCAGCCACACUGGGACUGAGACACGGCCCAGACUCCUACGGGAGGCAGCAGGGGGGAGUAUUGGACAAUGGGGGCAACCCUGAUCCAGCAAUGCCGCGUGGGUGAUGAAGGCCUUCGGGUUGUAAAGCCCUUUCGGCGGGGACGAUGAUGACGGUACCCGCAGAAGAAGCCCCGGCUAACUUCGUGCCAGCAGCCGCCGCAGUAA
rnacentral:rRNA from 1 species